rnacentral:pre_miRNA from 1 species
AGAGUACUCCCUCCGUCCGGAAAUACUCGUCGGAGGAAUGGAUGUAUCUAGACGUAUUUUAGUUCUAGAUACAUCCAUUUCUAUGCAUUUCUUCGACAAGUAUUUCCGGACGGAGGGUGUAUGAG